GGAUUAAUACCGCAUACGACUUAAGGGAGAAAGCGGGGGAUUUUUCGGACCUCGCGCUAUAGGGGCGGCCGAUGGCAGAUUAGCUAGUUGGUGGGGUAAAGGCCUACCAAGGCGACGAUCUGUAGCUGGUCUGAGAGGACGACCAGCCACACUGGGACUGAGACACGGCCCAGACUCCUACGGGAGGCAGCAGUGGGGAAUUUUGGACAAUGGGGGAAACCCUGAUCCAGCAAUGCCGCGUGUGUGAAGAAGGCCUUCGGGUUGUAAAGCACUUUUGUCCGGAAAGAAAACCUCUUGGCUAAUACCUGAGGGGGAUGACGGUACCGGAAGAAUAAGCACCGCU
rnacentral:rRNA from 1 species